AACGAACGCUGGCGGCAGGCCUAACACAUGCAAGUCGAACGCCGUAGCAAUACGGAGUGGCAGACGGGUGAGUAACGCGUGGGAACAUACCCCUCGGUUCGGAAUAACUCAGGGAAACUUGAGCUAAUACCGGAUACGUCCGAGGUUUUAAUCGACCUUGGAGAAAGAUUUAUCGCCGGAGGAUUGGCCCGCGUCUGAUUAGCUUGUUGGUGAGGUAAUGGCUCACCAAGGCGACGAUCAGUAGCUGGUCUGAGAGGAUGAUCAGCCACAUUGGGACUGAGACACGGCCCAAACUCCUACGGGAGGCAGCAGUGGGGAAUAUUGGACAAUGGGACGAAAGCCUGAUCCAGCCAUGCCGCGUGAGUGAUGAAGG
rnacentral:rRNA from 1 species